rnacentral:rRNA from 1 species
AUUGAACGCUGGCGGCAGGCCUAACACAUGCAAGUCGAGCGGCGGCGGACGGGUGAGUAACGCGUAAAGAACUUGCCUCACAGCUAGGGACAACAUUUGGAAACGAAUGCUAAUACCUAAUACUGUGAGAGAGCUUUGCGGCGCAUUAGCUAGUUGGAGAGGUAACGGCUCACCAAGGCGAUGAUGGGUAGCCGGCCUGAGAGGGUGGUCGGCCACAAGGUGACUGAGACACGGCCAUUACUCCGACGGGAGGCAGGAGUGGGGAAUAGUGGACAAUGGACCAAAGUCUGAUCCAGCAAUUCGGUGUGCACGAUGAAGUUUUCGGAAUGUAAAGUGCUUUCAGUUGGGAAGCGGUACCAACAGAAGAAGUGACGGCUAAAUACGUGCCAGCCGCCGCGGUAAUAC